UCCGUUGAUAUCAUGGGGAACACCAAAUGCGAAGGCAGUACGCUGGCGCAUAUUUGACACUGAAGCACGAAAGCGUGGGUAGCGAAUGGGAUCAAUCUGGUCCCUUCCGAUAGUGAUAUCGGAAUGAGAAUUUGGCUAUAUGCUGGAAUAUCUGUGUAUCUUCUACUACACAAUCUGCAAAGAUUGUGUGAUAAUGUAUGAAGUGCAGACAAUCAGCAGGGAAGGCUUGCAAAAUUGAAAGAGGGAAAAUUUCCGUCGUCCAAGAACCCGAAAGAGGGUAGGACCCUACAGAGGUGCUAGAGGUGUGUUAUGACCCCUUGCGGGUAUCGGCAUUACCUGCCAGUGGGAUAAUUGCCACUGGUAAUCACCAUGUACAAUGUGGAGUAAGUUGGGGUAUGGAUUUGACUCGAGUUAACCCCAAAUGAGUCUCCACCGGAUUUAUCUUUGACGAAGCGAAAGUUUCGUCGUCGGGUAAAGAAGUUGAAAAACUAUCUUUACCCUCUCUUUCAAUUUUGUAAGAACCCUCAGAGACUACACGCCAAAUAUCUUAAAAUAAUUUUUUAAGAUAAUGAUAUAGUCCGACCUUUAUGGCGACAUAAAGAUCUAUUGUAAUACUGGGUACAAAUAGUCUUCGAAAGAAGUAACAAGUAUGUAGAUACCCCAGUAGUCCACGCCCUAAACGAUGAUCUCUCGGUUUUCGGAGUAUCGACCCUCUGAGAGCCUUAGCUAACGCGUUAAGAGAUCCGCCUGGGAAGUACGGCCGCAAGGCUAAAACUCAAAGGAAUAGACGGGGACUUGCACAAGCAGUGGAUUAUGUGGUUUAAUUCGAUGGUAAACGAAGAACCUUACCAGGGUUAGAAAUCCUAGUGAAAAUCCUCGGAAACGAGGACCCUCGCAAGACUCUAGGACAGGUGAUGCAUGGCCGUCGUCAGUUCGUGGUUUGAAUUGUACCCUUAAGUGGGCUAACGAACGCAACCCUCGUUGUGUGUUACAAGUGUCACACGAGACCGCCCGUCCCAGUGCCGAGGUUGACUUGUUUGGAACGCGUCCCAGUACCGAUAUUGAAUUUCAAUUUCGGCAAUGGGAUUUGCUUUUAGACGCGUCAACGUCGGUAGCGGGACGGGAGGAAGGAGAGGAUGACGCCAGGUCAGCAUGUCCCUUUGAUAUCCUGGGCUACACACAUAAUACAAUGGCGACUACAACGCGUAGCGACGGGGCGACCCUGAGCUAAUCGUCCAAAAGUGGCCUCGGUUCGGAUUGAAGUCUGCAACUCGACUUCAUGAAGCUGGAAUUGCUAGUAAUCGCAGGUCAGCUAAACUGCGGUGAAUACGUUCUCAAGUCUUGUACUCACAAUAAAAGCGCGCAGCAGCUUAAUUUUCUAAAUGGUUCAAAUCCAUUCCCCCGAUUCGUAAUCGGGGCGUAGCUAAAAGAUAGCCUUUUACCGCAAGGUAAAUGGUGGAGGAUCUGGAAGCAAAAAGCAGCUCGACAAUAAAAGAGCCAGUUGACCUACUAGUGGGUGGUGAGGGUAGGGAAAACUCUUGAAAAGCUCGUUGGGAUGUUUGGAAAAGAAUUUUAAGUGACCUGUGGAGAUCUGACGUUUGCUAUCUUGUUUUAUACAAGAUAUAAUUAAACUUACGCAGCGUCAGAAGUCAGCUGAAUCAUAGUACUUCGAUAUUUUUCGAGGGAAGGCAUUCACUCAAAAUAAAAUUAUGAAUUUUAAAUUUACUAAAAUCAAAUCAAUCGUAGUUUUGUCUAUUUCUUUCUUGGUUGGAAUUUACUUUUUUGUAGUUUCUCCGGGAAUUAUUUUAGAUGGAACGACUUCUUUGACACAGUUGAUUCUGAAUAAAUCCAUAUUCUUUUUCUUUUGGUUUAUUCCAACAUAUAUAGUUCUUUAUGUAUUGUUGAGUUUAUUUCAAAGAAAAUAGUUUUGAGCUCGCCGAAUACGGGAAAUCCGUCCGUUCGGUGGGAACACAAAUUCGUAGUUUAACGAAAGUAUUCGCCCGUCAAGUCAAGGGAGCCGGGAAUACCCGAAGUAUCCGCAUAAGCGGGUCCUAAGGUAAGCUCGGUGACAGGGACUAAGUCGUAACAAGGCACGGGUAGCGGAAGCUGCUCGUGGA
rnacentral:rRNA from 1 species